GCAUUUCAGUGUCCUGGAUGUACUGUUAGUCACUGGUCCCAUUUAUAGACAUUUAGGUUUACAAAAAAUUCCAUGAUGACUAUCUGUGUGUGUGUACUUAGAUCUGUGUUUAUUUGGAUGAAUUCCAGAGAGAAAUGUCUGUCAGAAGGUGGAGGCAUCCCAGAAGACUUCACAAUUUCAAUCCCCACCAACAGUGCAUUCCUCACCUCCCUCCUUGCCUGUCCGCAGUCUCUUCCAUCUCAAGAAAGGAUUGAUGCUGAAGCUGAAGCUCCAACAACUGGCCACCUGAUUGAAAGAGUCAACUCACUAGAAAAGACCCUGAUGCUGGGAAAGAUUGAAGGCAGGAGGAAAAGGGACGACAGAGGAUGAGAUGGUUGGAUGGCAUCACCGACUCAACAUAAAUUUGAGUAAACUCUGGAAGAUGGUGAAGGACAGGGAAGCCCGUCAUGCUGCAGUCCAUGGCGUCACAGAGUUGGACAUGACUUAGAUACUGAAUAUCAAAAUCAGAUGAAAAACAAGGGGUGAGUUUUCUGGGAAAUGUCCACCUUAUACUACCCGUUCAGCCCUUAGGUGUCCCAUGGAUUUAGCAUUAAAAACCCCACAUCAGUACCAUAUUACUAGAAGACAAGGGUUUGACAUUGUUUACCAAAGGAAGGCAACGGAUUAACAACAGGAUGAGGGAAACUUGUUUCUCCUGCAUGUGUGUCCAAGUGAUACUGCCUUCUGGCUCCUCUUGUUGAGCCCAGGUCCCCUUGAAGACAUGACUGUCUUUCAGGCCUGUGGUUCAAGCAGUGUUGGGCAAGAGUUCAUGGCUCUGUAGACCAACAAGUGUGAGAUAAAGCUCAAACUUCAUGUCUUUUACAUAGAACACAGGUUUGGCCUGCAUGGGUGGUGCCGCCACUGGCUACUUGUCCCCAGUGAAAGGCUGUCCUGCAGGUGGACCAGGCUGCAAGGGACCAGCUGGCAGCUGCCCAGAUGCCUAAACAUCCUCAGAAUUCCACUGCAGGGUUCUGCCCUUUUUUGCAGAUGGAACCUCUGAGGCUUCCUUUGGAAGGGCCCUAUUGCUCUUGGUUCCCUAAGAAAGUGGACAGGCAGCUUGGCCAUGGGAGGCAGAGCUACAGAAGAGUAUGCCUUCUCCGCUGCAAUACUUCAGUGCUCUGACUGUCCUCAGCACUGCUGGGGGCACCCUCUCCAUAGUGAGCAAGACAGACUGGAGAGAGAGGAGUUUGGUGAGGGAUCGCCCACUUGGCAAGGAGCCAGAAUGUUGCAAGCCUGUGUUUCAGUCUGG
ensembl:lncRNA